AGGGAUUCCUAGUUUCUCCCCUAAGACUGUCUUUUUUUUCUUCUGAUUUUGCUUGGUUUGAAGAUUUUCUUUCCAACUCAUGUUUGCCAAUUUCAUUCCACCAUUUUAGCUCCUAAUCGGGGUGGAGGGUGAAUUGGUCUCCUGUGCUCAGAGUUGGAAUUGGGAUCUGCAUUCUGGGGUCCCUUGAUCUCUUUAUUCAUCACAGCCAGCUCUUACAGCUCAUCUGGGCAUAAUUAGCUUCAUCCAGAAUGUUUGCAUUUUGUUUGGGUUGGACUCUUGCAGGGGCCUGGGAAAAGAGAAAGAGUAAAAUGCAAUUAUUUAUCUCCCAAGAGACCAAUAUGCCAGCAGAGGGUGAGAAGAAGGAGCCAUGGACCUGACUGGGGAGAUGACUGUACAGUGACACAGAAGCUGCCAGGCCUCUCCAGGGGCAGGACUGAAAGAAGAGCAUCCUCAGGCGAGGAAAGGGCAGAGCAAAGGCCCACACACAAGCAAGUGCUGGGCAAGCAUAAUGCAAAGUCCCACAGGUGUGCAUGUCCAGGAUUGUGAUUGCCUGGACUGACUGUCUUUGGGAAUCCAUGACUGCACAUUUGGAGAGAGAGUAACAGAAGUAAUAUGCAGUCACUUGUCACAGAGUCCUUGGGAUCUCAGCAAUCCCUGGUUUGACAGGAAGCUCUGGAGUCAUGACCUACCUCAAGUUUCUCAUUGCUGGGAGGAAUAGAAUUACACAGAUGGACACCGAGGUUUUGAACACCGCCAUUCUCACCGGGAAGCCUGUUUCGGUGCCUGUCAAAGUCGUGGGGGUCCAGGAGGAUGGUUCUGUGGUCGAUGUGUCUGAGUCUGUAGAAUGCAAGUCUGCCGAUGAAGACGUCAUUAAGGUAAGGGGGAAUUUAUCUACAGUUCUCCUAAGUACUCGCUCAGAGCUUUUUGUCGCCCCUUCUUUUGUCUCCAAGGUCUUGUUCUGACUGAGCGUCCCAGGCUCUGAAGGGCUGGAGGCCAGAAUGACCUCACCAAGGAGGAAACAGCUGACGGCAGAGACUCCCUGGAAUCAGCAGGCGGCUGCAGCAGGCGGUGCUGCUUCCCUCUCCCUGGAAAGGGGAAUCCCUGACCCUUUAUCUCCAGCAGAAAGAAUUCCCUCCCUCCCUUCCACGUUCCUUGCUUCCCUCGCUCCCCAUAUGCAUGAAAUUCGAUGACUAUUGAAAAACAUUCAUCCAUAUGACAAC